rnacentral:rRNA from 1 species
GACGAACGCUGGCGGCGUGCCUAAUACAUGCAAGUCGAGCGGACCGGAUUGGGGCUUGCCUUGAUUCGGUCAGCGGCGGACGGGUGAGUAACACGUGGGCAACCUGCCCGCAAGACCGGGACAACUCCGGGAAACCGGAGCUAAUACCGGAUAACACCGAAGACCGCAUGGUCUUCGGUUGAAAGGCGGCCUUUGGGCUGUCACUUGCGGAUGGGCCCGCGGCGCAUUAGCUAGUUGGUGAGGUAACGGCUCACCAAGGCGACGAUGCGUAGCCGGCCGGAGAGGGUGACCGACCACCCUGGGACUGAGACACGGCCCAGACUCCUACGGGAGGCAGCAGUAGGGAAUCUUCCGCAAUGGGCGAAAGCCGGACGGAGCGACGCCGCGUGAGCGAAGAAGGCCUUCGGGUCGUAAAGCUCUGUUGUGAGGGACGAAGGAACGCCGUUCGAAGAGGGCGGCGCGGUGACGGUACCUCACGAGAAAGCCCCGGCUAACUACGUGCCAGCCGCCGCCGUAA